GAUGAACGCUGGCGGCGUGCCUAAUACAUGCAAGUCGAGCGAACGGACGAGAAGCUUGCUUCUCUGAUGUUAGCGGCGGACGGGUGAGUAACACGUGGAUAACCUACCUAUAAGACUGGGAUAACUUCGGGAAACCGUAGCUAAUACCGGAUAAUAUUUUGAACCGCAUGGUUCAAAAGUGAAAGACGGUCUUGCUGUCACUUAUAGAUGGAUCCGCGCUGCAUUAGCUAGUUGGUAAGGUAACGGCUUACCAAGGCAACGAUGCAUAGCCGACCUGAGAGGGUGAUCGGCCACACUGGAACUGAGACACGGUCCAGACUCCUACGGGAGGCAGCAGUAGGGAAUCUUCCGCAAUGGGCGAAAGCCUGACGGAGCAACGCCGCGUGAGUGAUGAAGGUCUUCGGAUCGUAAAACUCUGUUAUUAGGGAAGAACAUAUGCGUAAGUAACUGUGCACAUAUUGACGGUACCUAAUCAGAAAGCCACGGCUAACUACGUG
rnacentral:rRNA from 1 species